UCUCCGUUGGUGAACCAGCGGAGGGAUCAUUACCGAGUUUCUACUCUCAAACCCUUGCAAACCUACCUGUAACGAUGCUUCGGCGACCGGCCCUCGGGGGGGCGUCACAAACGGUCGCCGAUAGUAUUCAAAAAUCAAUUUUUUUCAGAGUCCUCUGAAUGACCUAAAAAAACAAAUCAAAACCUUCAACAACGGAUCUCUUGGUUCUG
rnacentral:misc_RNA from 1 species